rnacentral:rRNA from 1 species
AUUGAACGCUGGCGGCGUGCCUAACACAUGCAAGUCGAGCGGUAACAGGUGUAGCAAUACAUGCUGACGAGCGGCGAACGGGUGAGUAAUGCUUCGGAAUCUGCCCAUGUAGUGGGGAAUAACCAGCCGAAAGGUUGGCUAAUACCGCAUACGACCCUUGCCCACAAGGCAAAGGUAGAAAGCAGGGGAUCGCAAGACCUUGCGCUAUUGGAUGAGCCGAAGUCGGAUUAGCUAGUUGGUAGGGUAAACGGCCUACCAAGGCGACGAUCCGUAGCUGGUCUGAGAGGACGGACCAGCCACACUGGGACUGAGACACGGCCCAGACUCCUACGGGAGGCAGCAGUGGGAAUAUUGGACAAUGGGGCAACCCUGAUCCAGCGACGCCG